rnacentral:rRNA from 1 species
AACGAACGCUGGCGGCAGGCCUAAAACAUGUAAGUCGAACGAACCUUCGGGUUAGUGGCGCACGGGUGAGUAACACAUGGGAAUGUGCCACUGGGUGCGGAACAACGUCGGGAAACUGACGCUAAUACCGCAUAAUGUCUACGGACCAAAGAUUGAUUGCCCAGAGAUCAGCGCGCGUCUGAUUAGCUAGUUGGUGAGGUAAUGGCUCACCAAGGCGACGAUCAGUAGCUGGUCUGAGAGGAUGAUCAGCCACAGUGGAACUGAGACACGGUCCAGACUCCUACGGGAGGCAGCAGUUAGGAAUAUUGGACAAUGGGGGCAACCCUGAUCCAGCCAUGCCGCGUGUGUGAAGAAGGCCUUAGGGUUGUAAAGCACUCUCGGCUGUGAAGAUAAUGACAGUAGCAGAAGAAGAAGCUCCGGCUAAAUUCGUGCCAGCCGCCGCCGUAA